AUUGUCUGGUGAUGAUGGCGAAGAGGUCACACCCGUUCCCAUACCGAACACGGAAGUUAAGCUCUUCAGCGCCGAUGGUAGUUGGGGGUUUCCCCCUGUGAGAGUAGGACAUCGCCAGGCUUU
rnacentral:rRNA from 1 species